rnacentral:rRNA from 1 species
UACAGAGGUCUCAAGCGUUGUUCGGAUUCAUUGGGCGUAAAGGGCGCGUAGGCGGCGCGGUAAGUCGGGUGUGAAAUCUUGGAGCUUAACUCCGAAACUGCAUUCGAUACUGCCGUGCUUGAGGACUGGAGAGGAGUCUGGAAUUUACGGUGUAGCGGUGAAAUGCGUAGAUAUCGUAAGGAAGACCAGUGGCGAAGGCGGGUCUCUGGACAGUUCCUGACGCUGAGGCACGAAGGCCAGGGGAGCAAACGGG